rnacentral:rRNA from 1 species
AAAUUGAAGAGUUUGAUCAUGGCUCAGAUUGAACGCUGGCGGCAGGCCUAACACAUGCAAGUCGAACGGUAGCACAGAGAGCUUGCUCUCGGGUGACGAGUGGCGGACGGGUGAGUAAUGUCUGGGAAACUGCCUGAUGGAGGGGGAUAACUACUGGAAACGGUAGCUAAUACCGCAUAAUGUCGCAAGACCAAAGAGGGGGACCUUCGGGCCUCUUGCCAUCAGAUGUGCCCAGAUGGGAUUAGCUAGUAGGUGGGGUAACGGCUCACCUAGGCGACGAUCCCUAGCUGGUCUGAGAGGAUGACCAGCCACACUGGAACUGAGACACGGUCCAGACUCCUACGGGAGGCAGCAGUGGGGAAUAUUGCACAAUGGGCGCAAGCCUGAUGCAGCCAUGCCGCGUGUAUGAAGAAGGCCUUCGGGUUGUAAAGUACUUUCAGCGGGGAGGAAGGUGUUGUGGUUAAUAACCGCAGCAAUUGACGUUACCCGCAGAAGAAGCACCGGCUAACUCCGUGCCAGCAGCCGCGGUAAUACGGAGGGUGCAAGCGUUAAUCGGAAUUACUGGGCGUAAAGCGCACGCAGGCGGUCUGUCAAGUCGGAUGUGAAAUCCCCGGGCUCAACCUGGGAACUGCAUUCGAAACUGGCAGGCUAGAGUCUUGUAGAGGGGGGUAGAAUUCCAGGUGUAGCGGUGAAAUGCGUAGAGAUCUGGAGGAAUACCGGUGGCGAAGGCGGCCCCCUGGACAAAGACUGACGCUCAGGUGCGAAAGCGUGGGGAGCAAACAGGAUUAGAUACCCUGGUAGUCCACGCCGUAAACGAUGUCGAUUUGGAGGUUGUGCCCUUGAGGCGUGGCUUCCGGAGCUAACGCGUUAAAUCGACCGCCUGGGGAGUACGGCCGCAAGGUUAAAACUCAAAUGAAUUGACGGGGGCCCGCACAAGCGGUGGAGCAUGUGGUUUAAUUCGAUGCAACGCGAAGAACCUUACCUGGUCUUGACAUCCACAGAACUUUCCAGAGAUGGAUUGGUGCCUUCGGGAACUGUGAGACAGGUGCUGCAUGGCUGUCGUCAGCUCGUGUUGUGAAAUGUUGGGUUAAGUCCCGCAACGAGCGCAACCCUUAUCCUUUGUUGCCAGCGGUCCGGCCGGGAACUCAAAGGAGACUGCCAGUGAUAAACUGGAGGAAGGUGGGGAUGACGUCAAGUCAUCAUGGCCCUUACGACCAGGGCUACACACGUGCUACAAUGGCGCAUACAAAGAGAAGCGACCUCGCGAGAGCAAGCGGACCUCAUAAAGUGCGUCGUAGUCCGGAUUGGAGUCUGCAACUCGACUCCAUGAAGUCGGAAUCGCUAGUAAUCGUAGAUCAGAAUGCUACGGUGAAUACGUUCCCGGGCCUUGUACACACCGCCCGUCACACCAUGGGAGUGGGUUGCAAAAGAAGUAGGUAGCUUAACCUUCGGGAGGGCGCUUACCACUUUGUGAUUCAUGACUGGGGUGAAGUCGUAACAAGGUAACCGUAGGGGAACCUGCGGUUGGAUCACCUCCUUA